CCUGCACACAGCAGGGUGGGUUUGUGCCUUUGGCCCAACAGGUACAUAGCCCCAUAAUUUCUGAAUUAUUCUAUGCACUUGUUUCCCUCUUCUUUUAUUUUUUAUUUGAUAUAUGCCGAGCUAGAAUCCUGUCGGGUAGCUUUUGUAUACUAAGAACAUUAUUAUUAUUAUUAUUUUUGAGACGGAGUCUCACUCUGUCACCCAGGCGCUCCUGCCUAUAAUCCUAACUCUUUGGGAGGCCGAGGUGGGUGGAUCACUUGAGGUCAGAAGUUCAAGACCAGCCUGGCCAACAUGGUGAAACCCCAC
rnacentral:lncRNA from 1 species